ensembl:snoRNA SNORD94 small nucleolar RNA, C/D box 94
CAGGCUGUGAUGAUUGGCGCAGGGGUACGGACCUCAGCUGAUGAUGGGAGCUGAGUGUAUGUGUUUCUCCUCUGUCCUGCGUGUGGCAGGAGCGGGGCGAGCACCUACAUGAGACCGGUGCCUGAAUCUGAGCCUG